AACCUUUCCUCGAGGCAGGAGCUUCCGCAUUUGAAGCCGAAAGCAUUCCGUCCGGGAAAUCGAUACAUUUUGAUCUCCCCAGCUAUUUUGAUUUUGACUUCCUUGCCUCGGCUCAUUCGCUGUGUUACGCGAAGAAAGAGUUAGAUCCGAUUUGAGAUUCAAGAGAUUCAGAGUAGUGAAAAUAGAAGUAAACUGAUUCAACUUCUCCCAUGGGCUAUGCCUAAAAGUAAGCCAAAAACAUAGGCUAAAACGAUUUGAAUGUGACUUAUUAAGGGAAUCGGCAUGUUGAAGGGGUUGGAUGCGAGAUUGCUCAAGGUUGGAGGAAUUGAAAGUCAAAGAAAAAAGAUCCCAGACAGAGUACCAACAAAGUCCGGUCCGAAUCCUUUAUCGAUGGGAAAGCUUGACCUUAAUAGAGUGGACAGGCUCUGAUCCUCGCUUUGCUGUCAUUGGGUCACGAACAGGAAAAGAAGAAGGAGUUAGCGCUUUCACCUGGUUUGGUUCAGGAAUUGGGUGCUAUGGAGAAAUAGAAGUAGUUUAUCCCGUCUCCGGGUGGAUUGGUUUGAAUAGCCCUAUUGACCAGGAGGCAUUACCGCUCUUUGCUUUUCCUUUUAGAGAAUCGACUGUGAACUCUGGUCAUGGCAUGGGCAUCAAACAAAAGAAAAGGAAGAAGCCCUAAUCUUCGAGUCAGGAGGUUAGAUACCCACCAUAUGAAGUAGCUUGGCUUGUUAGCAACGUUUGGAUAACUUGUUAGUCCUUUGAUUGAGACCGAGCCCUCACUUGCCGAGCGAACCUCUUCUUAUUCUCCUUCGUUCACAACCCCACCUUUAACCGACGAUUCGACAACAAAAGGAGUUCUCGUCUGGCAUCACCACUUGAAAAGCUCGUACCAAGUCAGUGUUCGUUGCCAUACUCUGAGGCUAGUGUAUCUGACACAGUAGAACUCCCUAAACAAUAAAGAACGGGACCCUACUAAUAGAAUAGGGUAGGGAAAGAUCCCACUGUUUCUGGACCAACCAAACCACUGUAUGCGUAUCAGGAAAUGCUGCUUCGGCUGCUUUUGCGGAGGCAAGAGAAGAUAGAUUCAUCAGGGUAGUCUCGUCUAUACGAUUCUGCCGGGUGGACUCAAGGGGGGGUGCCAUCUAUACAAGUCGAAGCGCCUUCAACUGCAGCUAGUUUGCGGAGAGUUGCGUUAGCUUGGGUUCCUUCCUUGGCUGCUUUUCACAGGUCUCUUGUACGUAGUUAAGGUGAAGCUUUGUUUGGUGUUGAUUCUAGACUAGACUGGAAAGAACCCUAUGACUGACCUAGCAACAAUUAGAUGUUGAUUCGGAAAAAGCUACAUCCGCGGGAUCCUUUGGUUCAGGAGAAAAAAGAUAUGUUAGUUCGGAAGAAACUGGAUAUGCUGCUGAGGUCAAUCCUGCUUCGAGAGAGGGCGGUACGGAAAGAAUGGAGUGAUUCACCUAAGACUGAAAAGCGUUAAGGUUGUGCUUCUUUAGAGGGAAGCAAGCGCGCCAAGCUACGCCGUCUACUUUUUCAUCUACUUUUUUUCAAAAAGGAAGAUUUCAGCGGGACCGGCUUUCGCGAAAGUUCCUUUGAGCGGUGCUUCUCCUGUCGAUUCAUAGAAAGACGAACCAAUCUGUUUUGUUCCACUUUGAAGCAUGACCGGCACCGGUGCUCUUGCAACGGCCAUCAACGGCAACAAGUGGCGUCCUCGGAUGCUGACUAUCUUGCGGAUCCCUCCAUGAUAAAGAAAGAAGUUGAGACUGAAGAGGAGUACAACACCGUUACUGACGAUACACCAAAUGGCCUCAUAAGAUCCCCUGCAGCAGUUAGACUGGCUUGGUACUGCUACUGUCACUCCACUGAUUGAAAAGGGUUGACUUCGGCCUGCCGCCGAUUUAGAGUUUCCUAUUGUUGCCUAUUACUUGAAUGGCACCCCUCUCCGACAGACUAAAGAUGAAUCAGGCCACAUCUGGUGGGACUUCUGCGAUUGUGACGACUGUGUUUGGAGCAGAUUAACAUAGGAAGAACCAAAAAGCAGAAGAAGGCAAAAGUCCAGAAGAAAGAAAACAUCCCAGCAAGAAUUGCAAGAGAGGUAUGAGGCAGGUGACCCAAAGGUUGAUCUACUUGGGGAGCCCUCAGGAAAGUUUGAUUACUACGUCUUAUACUCCAAGAGCAAGCCUUCACCCCCGGCUCAUUCCGUACCUCUCUUUAGCUUUAGAAGCGGCGGACAUGCUCACACAAACCGAGAAGGUGUGUUUGAACAACUAAGAAAAGUGGCUUAGACAAAAGAUGAUGUUAGAAGGUCUGGUUCUUGAAGUCAAGUCACUGAUUCCAGUUGCUUGCGAUAUCAAUUGUACUGAAACACAACUGGCCGUCAUGUAUGUCACUUGAACUUGAGCCUAUGAGCUAGAGUCGGCUAGGGCUAGGCCAGAAACUGGAAAGUCCCUAACACCGGCUUCCUAGAAACCUACAGAGCCAAGCUAAAGCUCCUUUUCUCUUACGACUCGAAGAGGCAGGACCUCUCUCGACAGCUGAGAGUAAGUAGCUAUUUGAUGAUCUAAAAGAAAAACCCUUUUUGCAGCAAACUAUACCUUCAUUCUCAAACAUGAAGUCAAUAGAGGUUCACCUUUAGCUUGGCAUCUAUCUUCUUAUUAUUAAAAUAGAUGAACCCUCAAUAACAAACAAGGCUCUAAAGCGUAUGUUUUCAGGACAUAUCUCAUUAACCGCUGCUAUUGAAUGCCCUGCUAGUCUGAGUGCUACUUCUGUAGCUGCAAUGGAGCGCUAAGAAGGUGAUGAAAAAGAUCUCUUAGGUAAAGACUAGCCCGCCUCUCCCAUGACUUUCCGGACCAACCAACCCGGAUCUGCCCUCGCAAGUCUUCUCUGCAUUUUGGGAGAUUAGGUGCCUAGCCUCAGAUGGAGCAAAGCAUCUUUCCCCGAUUAGGACUAUACUAGUUGACAUGGGAGAGAGGAGUCGGCAGCAUUGCUAUUGAAUGGAAUAGAAGAACCACAUUGCCGAAUGCAGUUAGCUAGAAAAGCAGCUCAUGACCCGAGGGAAGGCGCUAUACUAUAACUAUAGAAGAAGUCCGACAAGAACUUCUCCAUUUUUUGAAAGCAAGGAUAGACCUUCAAAUCAGCGAGCUAGGAAGGCCCAGGAAAGUCUCCAGAACCCAGUUGUGAAGGAAAGGAAGGAAAAUGGAAACGUAUCCAGGGCGGGAAUCAAAAGUGGCUCUCUAGAGCCGGCCCUCAUAACAUAAAAGAAGUGGCCCAGGCGAUUCUCUCGUAUGCAAUGAGUUGGUUAGUUUCAUUAGCAGGUUAUGGUGGGGUAAGAAUGAGUUGCUAAGGAAAAGAAAAUGCAUUGGAUGGGCUGGAAUAGAAUUGCAUCCAAAAGAAGAGUGGCGGGCUAGGUUUCCUAGACCUUAAAGCUUUAAACCAUGCAAUGCUAGCAAAGCAAGGUUGGAGGCAACCAAAGGCUCCGGAGUCAUUAUGUGCGCGUGUGCUGAAGGUUGUUUAAUGUACCAGCUUGUUUUUUUCUUUUUUGGAAGCGAAGAAGUUGGGCUGGGCUCGUGCCCUUCGUUUACAUGGAGGAGUCUGCCCAACUCAAGGGUAGGUUCUCAAUAAGGGAGUCAUCUGUCGCAUUGGGAGCGGCUUGUCGGUGAAAAUAGGGGAUGACCCUUGGUUGCCUAUCUCUUGGAACAGGAAGGGUGUCACAAGCAACAAGAUUUACGAAGACAAAUUUUGGAUGGGAACUAAAAAAGCAUCAUACCGGAACUUGGAACGAGGAAUUGAUCAGAGACAACUUUUUUUCAAAAAAGAUGCAGAGAUGAUAUUGAGCUUGCCUUUAAGCAACAGAGUAGAUGAGGACUUCCUUGCUUGGCAUUACGAUCGCCGAGGCCUUUUCUAGGUACGUAGUGCAUACUAUCGAGAUGGAAUAUAAGCUAAAGAUGACUGACCAAGACAAGACAUGAAUGAGUCUGAAAAGACAGAGUAUGAAAAGGCCUCCUGUUCGAAUAUUUGAAUUCUCCUAAUCACUGUGUUCCCUCAAUGUUGUAAGGUGCUUUGACCAAUGGAUAUGGAGUUCUUCUGAACGGUAGAAGGCAAAGUGAGAGGUUCAGGGUCUUGUCUUGAUUAGACGUAUAGUUGCUAUCUGGCUGGGGUUAGAGAGAUUGAGAUAGUAGCCGUGGGAAUAGAUCUAUUUAUGGUAAAGGGCGCCUCGCUCGGCUUCCCAUUGUCAAAAAUGGAGUUCGCUGCUAGAAGACAGAAAGCACUCAAUCAAGGCUUAAGCCUUUUAUUGGGGCUUACAUAAAUGACUAAAAGAAGUAGUUGUGCCUCUUUCCGAUUCGGUUCAUAGUCCCAUACCAUAUAUAUAGAUAGAUAGAUAGCCGCUUAGGGCGUCGACCUGACCUCUAAAGUAGAAGAGCCAAGGCUUGGAGUAUCCAAGGUGAGCCGCAAGGCGAACUGUCGAAGUAGAUAAGGAUGAGUGAGGUGGCCUUUUCCUUGAUAAGCCAAUACGCAAGAAAUUCAAAAACGAAAACUGUAAACCUAACUUAUCUACGACAAGCCCUCACAGAGCUUACUUCUAUAGAGGCGCUUGGGAAGAAAUGGCCAUCGGUGAGCCUGGGAGCUCAGGUUAGUGAAAGCUUGUCUUUUAUCUUGUAGAUAAUCGACUGACCUACAUCGCCUAGUGGGAUUUCUCGGGCGGGAAUCUUUCUAUUUCUAUUUAUAUGGACGACCAGAGGAUUCGUGCCUACGUUGAAUGGCAAGCCCCUGCGAAUGUAGGCCAACUAAGGUCAUUUUUGGGACUUGUCAACUAUUAGAUUCUCGCCGGUUCAUUUAGAACUUUCCCUUACCCAUUGAACGAGGAGACGGGAGUGAGAGGGUGAUAUAAGACGAAGGAAAGGACAUCGGAACAAGAAUUGAACAAGUACGUCCGCGCAGGCAAGACCAAAGCAACUCCUAAAAAAUCUCCUUUUCUUUAUGCGUUCCUGGAGCUAGAGCCUUGAGUUCGAGUUUUGAGUUCCGAGCCUGGAGUUUGAGUUCCAUCUGCCGGGAUAUGGGACGGCCUUUUCUCUUUAUUACACGCGCUUGGGAAUUUCCUUCCCUGCAAAGGAGUUGGAGUUGAACAAGCGGUGGAGAACGGAGGCGGCUUUGCCGGUGAGCUCCCAAAUAAUGUCUCCUUCUUCAGUCGGUCCGCUAUCCCCACCAUUCUACCCCCAGAGGGAACUCUUACUGCUUAAGCACGGCCGGCAUCCUAAAAGAAGAAUUCCUUCCCUCCGCAGGUCUAUCAUCCUCUUCUCCUUACGCUGCUAAGGUAACAUAUAUAACUCCUACUCUUCUUCUGUUUGAUCGGUUUCAUCCGAGGAUGCGGCUUCGAGUUCUUACUCUGAGUUCCGACUCCGACUUCCUUGAGUUUUCCUUCUCCUUCCCUUCUUAACUCUUCGGUUCCGACUGAAGCGAUAACGCAUGCUUUUCAACUCCUAAAUCUCUUCCCGGAUUGGGUUAAGGGAACAGACGACAAGUCCAACCGACGUGCUUCGCGUUCGGUCAUGAAGUUGUGACUGGCACCCAAGAUCCACAAAAAUUGAAGCAGCAGCGGCAGGAGAAGUUCUUUAUGAGCUCUUAUUAGUUCCUAGUGUAAUAAGUGAGUUAGGAGCUACUUAUGAGUUCCAAGUGUAACUAAAAAUAGAGCUUAAGAGGAGAACUCGGUUUCGGCUUCGAUUAUCAAUUUCAUAUUCUUCUGCUUCUUUCAGUCAGGCCGGUCGUACUCCUAAUCGGCUGUUGCAAGCUGCUGUCCAAGGCAGGGGCGAGUACAUGCUUUGAAGCUUCCUGAUGGCAAUUGGUGCACGGCGGAUGAGUUACCAAUUUCAUACCUUCAACACGCUGCUAAGCGAGGGUAGGCAACUCCCCGAUCCGGAUAGGCGAGAGUUUGAGUUCCUCUUCUCUUGUUGUUGCCGGGUUUGAGUUCUUGCUCGAGUUCGCUUUCUCAGACCCGGAUGUAACUAAAAAUAGAGUCUUUUCGCCAGUUGCUUCUCUUUUCGACUUGAAAACUAACUUGCUUUAAGGUAAACGCGGCUACGAGGCAUUUCAAUUGCCAGUUGACUCCGGACAUAAAUCCGAUCCCUUCCAUCGAAGCGAAAACGAGUAAGAACGCCUUACUUAAGAAAACCCUCCGCCCGGCUGUUCGUUAAGAAGGGAAAGAAGGAAUUAUUCCUUGGUAGGAAGCGAUCGAGUUGUCGAAUUGAAAUAGGUCGGGAAGAAGCCGGACCGACCUCUUAACGACUGAAGCGAUAAGGUAUUUCAUCAGCUGCUCUUGCCGGUAUCUUAAUAGUUGAAUUUCAUACCUUAGCCGAAUCAGUCUCUGUUGCUUAGGAGUUUGAGUUUGACUUUGCCGUUGAUCUUUUAUCAGACCCGGAUGGUAACCUAUAAGAAGCAGCAUUCAAGAGUGAAGGACCGGUUGGGAACCCUUACGAGAGAAGCGAUAGGCAAUACUUAAAACAAGAGUUUACUUCUUAAGGAGCGAAAACGCCGGAUUGCAAGAGAACGCCUAGAAGCAGGCUUCUUAAGAGAAUCAUACCUUGCUUCUUAUUUUAUUCUUUUUCUCUCAUACGAUUAAACGAUUUAGUUACCUCGGCGAAAAAACCAGGAUAUAAACAUUGCCGCAAUACUUGUCCGCAUUGUAUCUCUCAAACCAAAUAACCUUGCAAAAUGAUCCCACACAUUACGUGCUACUGGACCAUGCAAGAAAAAAUGACUAACAGAUUCUUCAGCUGAAAAACAACAAUCACACCUUGAAGCUAAUGAAAUUCCUCGCUGUUUAAUGGCAGCAUCCAUAGGGACAAAACCCCGUACCAACUUCCAAGAAAAAAAUGAAACUUUAAGGGGUAAUAUAGGACACCAAAUCCCCUUAUCAACAACCGAAAUAUUUCUUCGUUGACGCCAUUCUUCCCAUGCAGAUUUAACCGAGAGCUCUCCAUUGGAAGAUGGCUGCCAAACCAUGGAAUCCUCCAUUGAAGGAUGGAGCUGAAGCUCUUCAAUUCGACUUGCUAGAUAAUCCGGCAACCAAUUGCGUAAUUUAUUACCAUCCCAGCCAUUAUCUGUAUAAAAUUCUGCUAAAAACAUAUGAGGUGGAUCAGACAUUUGAAGGAUAUCUACCAAUGGGGAAUCAAAACACCAGCAAUCAUACCAAAAGUCCACGAAACCCCGACCUAAACACCAACGAAUUCUCGUCUCAGCAAAUCUCCGAACCUCCUCAAGACGUCGCCAAAUAGGAGGAGGACGAUCUACGGAAACAAUCAAAGGGUGCUGACCUCUAAUGUAUUUACAAUGCAUGAAUGAUGCCCAAACAGAAUUAUGUUGACGCAACCGCCACCAAAGUUUGCAAGAAAAAGCAGCUACAAUAUCCUCAAGCCUUCUAAAUCCCAACCCACCUUCUUCAAUGGGAUAACACAAUUUAUCCCAAGACGCCCAAUGAACCCUCGAAUCUCCAACACUUUUGUCCCACAUAAAAGAAUUCAAAAUCCGGUCCAACUUAAUAAUAACCGCUUUUGGAGGCUUGAGAACUUGAAAAAAAUACAUCGGAAUUGUAGAUAGAACAUGUCUAAGCAACACCCAUUUUCCACCUGCCGAUAAUAGUCUCGUGCUCCAAUGUCGAAGACAAGAAUUCAUCUUGGCCACUAUACCAUCAUAUAGAACACAAAGCUGUUUCCCUCUAGAUAUUGGAACACCCAAAUAAGUGAAAGGAAAGUGAUUUUGCUGAAACCCCAACUUAGCUUCCACCAACGAAACCUGCUCCACCGUGGCUCGAUUAGAAAUAACAAAUGAGCUCUUACUACCAUUAAUUUUCUGCCCAGAAAAGGCUUCAUAGUCCGCAAAUAAGGUCCGGAGAGAAUCCAGACAAUCCUCAGAACAUCUCGCAAAAAUAAUUGUGUCAUCCGCAAAUGCCAAAUAAGGAAUUUUAGUACCAGCCGACACAUAGAAUCUAUUCUCAUUCUGCAAAAAAAUAUGAUGAAUACCCCUUCCUAAAUACUCCGCAACCAACAGAAACAAAGCUGGAGAAAGCGGAUCGCCUUGUCUAACACCACGCGAAGGCUGAAAAAAUCCAGCAGGCUCUCCAUUUAUCAACACCGAGAACCAAGAGUUAGAGAAGGUUCUAAAUAACAAAUCAACGCCCCAUUCCCGAAAACCAAAUUGACGAAGCAUAAAGAGAAGGAAUGGCCACUCCACCCGAUCGUAAGCCUUCUCCAUAUCAAGCUUAAGCAUUCAAUUUGGGUGUCCCAAUCUUCUAUCCAAAUCAAAGGCUAAUUCCUGAGUCAGCAGUAUAUUAUCAACGAUCCCCCUACCAGGAACAAAGCCCGUUUGCCAAGGAUAAACAAUCUUCGGCAACAUCGAGUUUAAUCUAUUAACCAAGAUUUUAGAAAUAAUCUUGGAGCACACAUUGCACAAACUGAUUGGUCUGAACUCACGCCAUUGCGAAGCACCUGCAACCUUCGGAAUAAGAACAAUCAGCGUACUAGUGAAACCCCGAGGCUGCUGAGCCCCCUUAAAAUAAUCAUGAACCGCAUCCAACAAAUCAUCUUUAAUCACCUCCCAACACUGUUGAUAAAACCCUGCCCCAAAUCCAUCCGGUCCCGGUGCACUUUCAGAACUCAAAGAAAAAGCUACUGAUUUCAAUUCAUCCAGGCUAGGAAGCAAUUCCAAAGAGUCAUUAUCAGAUUCACUAGCCAUUGGCAAAUGAAACGGAAGAGUAGGAAGCCUCCUACCCUCACGAUCCGAGGCAAAAAGCCUAGAAAAAAACUGAGUAGCCGAACUUUUAAUACUGUCAACAUCCUCCAACCAUUGACCCGAAUCAGCCCUCACGCGCGAAAUGAAAUUCAAACUCCUCCGCUGCUUAACAAUCGAAUGGAAAUACUUAGAAUUUGCAUCCCCCGCCUUGAGCCACUUAAUAGCUGCUUUCUGACGCCAGAAUUCACACUCCACCGACAUCUCCCUAGCAUGCAAUGCCCGUGCCUCGUUCAACCGUAUCUUAGAAUCCUCAUCUCUAGCCAAAUCAAAUUCUCUUUCUCUCAAUUGGAGCACUGCUUCAGCCUCCUUGACACGGGAAAAAAUAUUGCCAAAAGUGCUACGAUUCCAUUCCCGAAGCUUUUUCCGAAGUAGCGACAAUUUACGUACAAACCUAACCAUUCCCACACCCCUCACUGGAAUUUCCCAAGCGUCCCUUACAACUUGAUCAAAUCCCGAAUGAUGCUGCCAAACAUUUAGGAAUCGAAAUGAAGCCUUCCGUGGUGCCGUCACCCCACAUUUAACUAGUAAUGGCGCAUGAUCCGACCUACCACGCACUAAAUGAGAGACUUUUGUGGUAUCAAAUAAAUCAGCCCAUGCACUAUUAGUCAAAACACGAUCCAAACGUUGCCAAAUUGAGCCAUUUGUCCAUGUAUACGGCUGCCCAUCGAAAUCAACCGGAGCCAAACCACAGUCAAACAUUGAAUCAUUAAAUUCCUCCAUGUUACGAAUAUUUACAGGAGCUCCCCCAAGUCGUUCCUCAGCCGAAGAAACCACAUUAAAAUCCCCCCCAAUCAUCCAGGCCGAAUCCUGUUUAACAGUUCCCAAAGCCUGCCAAAGAGAACGCCUACCAACCCUAGUACAUUUAGCAUAAACUGCAGAGAACCACACUGAAUAACCAUAAACAAAGUUUUUUUGCAUAUGCACCAAUUGCUCCGCAUGUUCAGAAAAAGAAAUUGACAUCUCAUUAAACCAGAAUACCCAAAUUUUCCCCUCCAAAAAUGAUUGAGCAUUAUCAAACCGAAGAAACAAACGCACAGCAUGAAUUAAAGCUACAUCAGACAUAGGUUCUAACAAAACCAAUAAUCGAACAUGAUGUUGAUCACAUAAACUCUUCAAAUAUUGCUGAGAAUCCUUACCCCCGUAUAUUCCAAAUUCAAAAAUUUAUUGGACUAAUCAUUUAAAGAAGAAGAAGACUUAACUUGAGCUUUAAAUUCCACCAGCUUCUUGUUAUAAUUUGGAGGACGACCCUUCUUUCCCAAUUUAUUCAACAGUUGAAUGUCUUUGGAAUCCAAUAGUGCCGAACGCGGACAGUCAGCCUCAAAGAGGUCCAACUUCCUUAAACGAUCACCAAUACCAGCUUGGAAAUCCUUAAGCUGCUGAGAAGAAACAACCUCCUCGCUGGUAUUAUCCACAGAUUUCCUUCUACCCCGAUCCACCAUACCACGUGGCGAUAGAGGAGUUGGAGAUUGAGGUGCAGAAGACGACCGAGUUUUCUGUAAAUGCAACCACACAUCAUCUGAAAGAUUUUCCAGCUGCGCAAAUUUAUUAGACAAUGUAACUGGCUCAGAAUCCGACUCAGGGUCAGUAAACACUCCUUCAAUCAACUCCCCAUCACAUUGCUGCUUCUCUGAAUUUUCGAACACCUUCUCCAACGAAUUAUCUGCUAGUUUAUUUCCAGAAUCGGCCAUGAUUGCUAUAGACUGAUCUCGCGACACAUUGCCCUCUACGACCAUGGCAUCGUGCUGCUGAUUAUGACGCUUAAUUUCUUCCAAUGAAGGCUGCAACUGAAGGUCUACAUGAGCAUCAUUAAUCGCUACCACCUCCAUAGAAUUAGAUGAAUCCUUGUGCUGAUUUGAUGUUCCUUCCCCACUGUUCUCGUUAAUUGGCUUCGAAAUCAUCUGCAAAAUCUCGUGACCCCUUCGUUCCUCUUCUGAUAUCAAACUGACCUUCUCCUUACCUUUGUCUUGCCGUGGGACAGAAACCUGUUGCGGGGGUUUAGCUGGCUGUGCAGCCUUCCCCUGUUGUUCCACCCUAGGUUUAGGCUUCAACUCCGGGUUCUUUCUGAAACAUUCUUGGUCAGAAUGACCAAUUCUCUCACAAUACGUACAAUAAUUCGGCCAAUCCUCAUACUCUACCUGCUGCCAAUGACCAGAAUUCUCAUCCCCAACCCAAAUCCGACGAGCAGGCUGCUUGGACACGUCUCCCUCCACCAAAACACGCGCAAGAGAGGGACGUUUAAACUGAGCCGUAGCCGAAUCAACCUUCAAGGGGCGACCCAGCAACGAUGCAAGUUUCAGAAUAGACUUUGUAUUAUAAAAAUAUAAAGGCAGAUUUGGCAAAAUAACCCAAACAGGAACAAUCGAAGAUUCUUGAGAAGACUUAAAAUCAGGAGUCCACUUCGAGAUUGUCAUCGGAGAGCUUUGUACAAACCACGUACGCCGGACAAACAAUCUCGUGUAAUCCUCUUCUUGAGUAGGUCGAAUUAUGACAUGAUUUGUAUCAAAGAGCCCCACAGAGCAUGCGCCUUUCAACCCAAGAGAGACAAAAAACUUGCGGAUAACCUCCAUGGAUGGACGGCUAUAAGAGAAACGUCCAAUCAAUACAUUCCUGUGAGGUUCCGCCAGCCGAGCAAUAUCUUGUCGAGAAAUUCUAAACGCUGGUUCUCCGCGAGAGGAAGAUAAUUCGCCUAAGUCAGGAAGUUGCGAAUCCCGUACUAAGGAAGAAGAAGCAACAGCCGCUGCAAAAGACUUGACACACGGCUGAUCACCAGAGGCCGAAGACCGAAGGGCAAAGAAAGAAGGAUUGAGACUCUUCCAAAUCUGCGACUGUAAGGCAAGCAGUGACCCAGUCUUCAAAACUUUCUCUUAAGUGUUCAAGGGGCGGGAAGGACAAGAAAGAAGAAAGAGCGCACCCCUCUCUUGGUUGGGAGCUUCACUCUGCUAGUUUCCGCUGUGCUCUUCCCUUCCAUCGAUUGAGCUUUCUUUCGCUUAAUUCAAUAGGGCCUUAGUAGACCGAUUUCAAUUCGACAACUCGAUCGCUUCUUCCUUUGCUGGAAUUGCCACCCUUGCUGCUCCUCUGAGUUCCUCUGGCAAAUCAUGAUGUGCGCAUGCUGGCUGCUCUGACGUUAGGAAGGAAUACCGGAACACCCGCCUAUUUUCCGCCGGCGAAUGAGCCGUGUGUCACUGAUUUAGGGUUGCUUUAUUGUCUGUAGGAGCGCGGUUGGAUUCUGCUCGUUCGUGGGGGAUUUGGCUUCUUUUCGGUAUUUUGUUAGUAAAGCUUUGCUUACCUUGAAGAGCCUUCAGUGAAGAAAGUCUUUCUUGGGAAAGGUUUCCGAUCAGCGAGCACCCCGCACACUGGAUCGUAGGCAGCAGUGGCCGACCAGUAGUUGGGCGGAAGUUAGAGACUCAAGAGGUUGUUUGCCUGUGACUGGCUUAUUGCUCUUAUGGUAUUUUAGUCUAAAGAAGCCUCCAUAGGGGCUUGAAUGCGACUCCUAUGACUACUCAAUCGAUUAGCAUAAACUAAGGGGAAAAGGAUUUCUCCCGGUAACCUAGCUCGCUUCGCCGCAUUCGGAAGGAGAAAGGUUUGUUCUAUAAUGUGAUAUAUAAGUUAUUCCAGCUUUCUUGAAAACCUCGUUAUUACAAUUACAGAGCGGUGGCUCUGGAACAUUUUAAAGAGAUAAGAUAACUGUCUUAGUACUGCUUUAAGUGGCAGUAUCCUAUGCAACUCUCCCUAUGCUGAAUCUCUUCAAUAAUUGCAUAAACUUUAGGUUUCAGUUCCAUUUCCUCCCAUUUUGACUAUUUCUUUUGGAAAAACCCCUUAAUAACUCCCAAACUUGAACAGGAAAACAUCUUCACUUAAAAUCGGGAGCCGGGAGGGCGGCGAAGCCAGUCUUGUGGAGCACCUUCAGUUAAGGUGUGAGCUAGGUAUGUGUCUGGCGCUGGAAAGCCUUAGAGAGCAGCUUUGUCUUAAGCAUAGACAUCGUUGAUAAAGACGGAUUUAUUCAUUCAAUUACAGAAUUAGUAGAGAAAAGUGAUGAUGAGAAAAAGGAAUAGUAUAAUUCUAAUAAAUAGAUUGUACCCUAAGCGCUGAUCCCAAAGAAAGCAGUUGGCUCUUCCUGCAUCCAUGCAUAAAGAAUUAGUAAGUAGGGUCCUCGAAGCCCGCCCGCCAAAGGGCUAAGUCGAGUGAUUCCUCUUGUAGGGGAUCGUAGCUAGCUAUAGUCUCACACGAUUCUUUCAUCUUCUUUUCACAUUCAUUCUCGGCCGUCUAGCUAUAGGACCUCGAAUCU
rnacentral:lncRNA from 1 species